GAUGAACGCUAGCUACAGGCUUAACACAUGCAAGUCGCGGGGCAGCAUGGGGGUUGCUUGCAAUCCCCGAUGGCGACCGGCGCACGGGUGAGUAACGCGUAUCCAACCUGCCCUUCACCACGGGAUAACCCGGCGAAAGUCGGACUAAUACCGUAUGUUGUCCAUUGACGGCCUCCGAUUUGGACGACAGGUUUGGCGGGGAAGGAUGGGGAUGCGUCCGAUUAGCUGGACGGCGGGGUGACGGCCCACCGUGGCGACGAUCGGUAGGGGUUCUGAGAGGAAGGUCCCCCACACUGGAACUGAGACACGGUCCAGACGCCUACGGGAGGCAGCAGUGAGGAAUAUUGGUCAAUGGGCGUAAGCCUGAACCAGCCAAGUAGCGUGCAGGAUGACGGCCCUAUGGGUUGUAAACUGCUUUUAUGCGGGGAUAAAGUGGCCCACGUGUGGGUUUUUGCAGGUACCGCAUGAAUAAGGACCGGCUAAUUCCGUG
rnacentral:rRNA from 1 species